rnacentral:rRNA from 1 species
UACAGAGGUCCCAAGCGUUGUUCGGAUUCAUUGGGCGUAAAGGGUGUGUAGGUGGCGCCGUAAGUCGGGUGUGAAAUUUCGGAGCUUAACUCCGAAACUGCAUUCGAUACUGCGGUGCUUGAGGACUGGAGAGGAGACUGGAAUUCAUGGUGUAGCAGUGAAAUGCGUAGAUAUCGAGAGGAACACCAGUGGCGAAGGCGAGUCUCUGGACAAAUCCUGACGCUGAGGCACGAAAGCUAGGGGAGCAAACAGG